GGGGACUGAAGGGCAAGAAGCCGUGCGUGGUGCCCCUUAAUCCGAGUGCCACCCUUUCCAGGAUGCUGACUGCACACCCCAGAAUCAGUGCUUCUUGUGGCUUGAAGAGGUCUCCCAGAGACUCACCAUUUGUGAGACUGUGGGGGAGUCUGCGGAGCCACUGGGAGGUGGAGAUUUUCUUGGAAGAAGCGGAUCUUGGAAGAGGGGCCUGGAACCACUUCCUGUCCCUGUUUGCUGUGUACAGAUGCAAUGUGACACUUCCUGUCCCUGUCUGCUGUGUACAGAUGCAAUGUGACCACUUCCUGUCCCCGUCUGCUGUGUCCAGAUGCAAUGUGACCACUUCCUGUCCCUGUCUGCUGUGUACAGAUGCAAUGUGACACUUCCUGUCCCUGUCUGCUGUGUACAGAUGCAAUGUGACCACUUCCUGUCCCUGUCUGCUGUGUACAGAUGCAAUGUGACCACUUCCUGUCCCUGUCUGCUGUGUACAGAUGCAAUGUGACACUUCCUGUCCCUGUCGGCUGUGUCCAGAUGCAAUGUGACCACUUCCUGUUCCUGUCUGCUGUGUACAGAUGCAAUGUGACCAGCCAGUCUGCUGCUCCCGCCACCAUGCUUUCCCUGCCACGAUAGACUGUAUUCCCCCAGACCAUGAGCCAGAAUAAAGCUUUUCACCCUUCA